rnacentral:lncRNA from 1 species
AAAAAUUUACUGAGUUCAUCUUCUUCUUCAUUCCUCCAAUCCCCCAAGCAUUCUAAUAGUUUCACUUUUUGUUCUCUAUUUUGUUAGUGUUCAUAUGUUUAUGGGUGUGUGUAUGUGUGAUCUACUUUAAUUUGAUUACAUUACCAUUAAAACAAAUAAGGUUCUAUCACACAAGGCUUGCCGCAAUGGUGUUCGGUCACCAUCCAUGUUGCCACCUACGCGUCUCCUCCGGCAACGCCGUGCCGCCUUUGUGUGAAGAAGAAGACGACAAUAGCCAUGGGAGCUUCGAAUCUCCCGACACCACCUUGGGGGAUCUCUGUGGGUUAGUCACUUGCUGGUCUAAGUCACCUGUUGCACGCCAUGUUGGUUCUGUCCAGAACCACCAUCACUAGAAGCGCCCCUAUCCUUGGCACCGAUAACAUGAGUGGGGAUGAUGAACAAUGUUCCUCCCUAAAGUUCUAACCUGUUUUCCUUUCUUCUUUUUUUAAUUUUAUAAUUUGUUAUUUUUCAUUUUGUGUUUGUUGUUUUAUUAAAUAUUGUGUUUGGUUCAAAAUCAGUGUAAUCCUUAUUCCGAUUUAACAUUAUCCAUAUUCAC